rnacentral:piRNA from 1 species
CCACGGAACCACAGGACAGGUGUGGUGUUGG